rnacentral:lncRNA from 1 species
UUACUCUUUCAAAAAAUGGUGCCAAACAACAAAAGGUUCAUGGGACAAAAAGAACACCUUUGCUCAAUUAAGGUUCUUUUGUUUUGUUUUUAUGAAGCAAAAGAUUGAAUGUUGUUCAUAAUGCAAUCACUUCUAAUUGCAGUUGCAAGAAUUUAGGGACUAAGGGUCAUUAAAGCAAAAUGUAUACCCAUUCAUACAUUAUUAUGAAUAAAAAUGCAUAAUUUUUUUAAUAGAAAAGCGGACACCGAUAGAGACAAUUACUUGAGUAGCAAUUAAGACAACAACUAGCUAUCACAUUCAGGGACUAGAGUCAUUAAGUUCAUCCAACAUUUUACUCUAUAGUCAUUGAGGCAUCUAUUAUGAUCCAUCCGUUACAAAAUUUAUAAAACAUAGUAUAUUCAUCGAUUCCAAUGGUCAAAUUUAGGGUUACUGGGGCAAUAUACUCCACGCCUUUUUCAGAUAAUGAAAAAAGAUUCAGUCACACAAUGAUUGAAUGUUCUUGACUAAAUUAAAAAUAGGUAUCUCAACAU